UUUAACCAAAUUGUAGCCCUCUGCUCCCUUGCUGCAGCCUCAGCCCCUCAGACAGUGUGCGUUUCUUCUGGCCAGGGCCCAGCUUGCAGUGAGAAGCAGAAAACAAUCCCCGGAAAUCUGAAAAAUGUGUAACAAGGAAAGAAAAUGUUGAGCCUACCAAAGCAAACAGACACAGCCUUGCCCCUGGUGUUUGUGUCGUGAGGUUCAAGGGAGAGCAGGGAAGAAGGAAACGAGCCCGAAAACAAACCCCCAAGCCCUGCUGGAGGCCAGAGCACAGCCUGUGAUCUAAGAAAUCCAAGAAUCUGCCCGCAGAGGCCCGAGGGCGGGGCAGGUGGGCUGAGGGGCCGGGGCCGGCGAUGGCGCCGGGCAGGACAAGCACACGGACACUGUGAGCUCAGGGUGACGGGCGUGGGCCUCCACUGCUCCCUGCUUCUCUUCCGCUUUGCUGCCAUUUCCAUGGUCGCCGAGACGGAAAACAUGCACGUCCCUGCUGUCCUUGAUCCACAAGGACGGGCUGAGCCGGGGGCAGGCAGCCUGGACACUCAGACAGAGACCAGGGACCCCGACCUCUGUGGCAACCAGGUGGGGCGGGAAAGUUGGGGGGGCUGGAAGUGCUCUGGGUCCUUCCUGGGUCCCCACGGGGGUGUCCCGGGGUCUCACUGGGUCCCCAUGGGGGAGUCCCGGGGUCUCACUGGGUCUCCGGGGUGGUGUCCUGGAUGCCUCCCUGUGCCUCCAGCCCAGAGGUGGCCUUGGUGCCCCAUUUGGCCUCUGGCACGUUUGGGGGCCAGCAGAUGGGAUUCCGCGUGUAACAGGACUUUGGGUUUCGGACUCAUGCCCACAGCUCCUGCGUGUUCCCUGCCUGGCUGGACUGAGGUCACUGGGACAGGCUGUGGCUUGGCUGCAUCCGUGGGAGCCCUGUGGAAGCUCACAGACUUCACCGCCAAGGGCUGGCUGGAGCCACACGUGACCGCUGCAGGGGCCAGGUGUCCGGGACUGCAGGUGGCCUCCACAGGUGAGCAGCCCCAGCCAACAGCCAGCAAGAAAGGGACCUCAGAAGUGCAGACGCACGAAGAUGAGUAUCUAUGGCCCGAGACCCACAAGGAGAGCGGCUGGGCCACAUCUCGAUUUUGUCCUGUGAGACCCUAAACACAGAGUCAAGCUGCAUGGCUCCGAGUGCCUGCCCUUUGGACGCCGAGCUAAUAAAGCGAGUGUUGGUUAAUCGUCUCCGUCUGUGAUGAUUUAUUACACAGAGAUGGCGAACUCUUAAACCAGCAAUGCAAAUCUAUGGGCUUAAA
rnacentral:lncRNA from 1 species